GAUGAACGCUGGCGGCGUGCUUAACACAUGCAAGUCGAACGGAAAGGCCCUGCUUUUGUGGGGUGCUCGAGUGGCGAACGGGUGAGUAACACGUGAGUAACCUGCCCUUGACUUUGGGAUAACUUCAGGAAACUGGGGCUAAUACCGGAUAGGAGCUCCUGCUGCAUGGUGGGGGUUGGAAAGUUUCGGCGGUUGGGGAUGGACUCGCGGCUUAUCAGCUUGUUGGUGGGGUAGUGGCUUACCAAGGCUUUGACGGGUAGCCGGCCUGAGAGGGUGACCGGCGACAUUGGGACUGAGAUACGGCCCAGACUCCUACGGGAGGCAGCAGUGGGGAAUAUUGCACAAUGGGCGGAAGCCUGAUGCAGAAACGCCGCGUGCGGGAUGACGGCCUUCGGGUUGUAAACCGCUUUCGCCUGUGACGAAGCGUGAGUGACGGUAAUGGGUAAAGAAGCACCGGCUAACUACGUG
rnacentral:rRNA from 1 species